GUGCUCGCUUUGGCAGCACAUAUCCUAAAAUUGGAACGAUGCAGAGAUUACCAUGGCCCCUGUGCAAGGAUGACACGCAAAUUCGUGAAGCAUUCCUUAUUUUU
ensembl:snRNA U6 U6 spliceosomal RNA